CGUUGAAAAACCUCUUUUCCUCCACCGUCCUCAUUUUCUGAAGUAAACCCCCUCUUCUUCCUCGUCUGACCAUGGUUCUUCAUCUUGAUUGAUUCAUAUUUGAUGUCAAAAAUGUAUCAGAUUGAACAGUAGGCCUAUCUCUUUGACACAUUGCUGACGGGGUAAUGUAAUGAUGAGAAAAGCAAGGUGAAACUCCCCUAUCCCAUGCAGCCAUAGAAGAGUGCUUUGCCUCUGUGGAAUAUCUUCUUCAAAUGGGUGCCAAUCCUGAAACUCUAGAUGAAUCAAAUUUGUCGUCCUUUGGACCAUGCCGCUAUGAAAGGCAGGGCAUAAAGAUGCCAUACUCUUGUUGCUUUCAAAAGGUACUGAUGUGGAUGUUACUAGUGAUUUUGGCUCACCGCUACAUUAUGCUGCCACCUGUCCAACACGAUCCUUCUGGAUCAUGGUGCCAAUAUGAGUACCAUUUUACCGUUUCUUCACGAACAGAUUCAGCUACCUGUUUAGCAAAUUCUCAAGUGACUCUAAAUGCCUAAUUUGGCCUUCCAUGGUACAGUUACUCCACUUCAGGGAUCUAUCGGUUCUCAAUCUUGGCAGUGCGCUGAGCAUUCACUGAAGCACAGUCUACAGCGAAUAGAAGUUGCAGCUGUUAACUGUAAUCGUUGAGGCGUUGAUUUUCUUUUUCCUGUGACUUCUCGUAUUUCAUCAUAUGUUGACUGGAGCAUAAGUGGAAUGACGAAGCAUGCAAAUUCUAAAACAUUUGAAGAAGAUGAUUCGUAAAGCAAAGGAGAAUUUUCUUGAGGCAAACUGGAGGAAGGAGUAUUUGCUGGAAGUGUAUUGGUACUCAGAGAGGCUCGACGUGCAGCAGACGCCUUUUUUGAUGGUUUGAAAGCAGAUUUUAAAAAUAAAGAGCUUGAAGAUUCAUUCAGCUGAAAGAUAAUGGUUUUGGCGUGUAGACCCACAUCUAACAUGGGUCCAAAAAGCAAGUGGGACUUUGAGUUUGCUAAGGACGGCCUAAAUAAGUGAUUACCCAUCUUAGUGCCUCAUCAUUGUUGGCUCCAUAACAGGUAACACAAACACAUUGGCUGGUAAUGUACCUCCAAAAGCCAUCCUAUAGGAGAUCUUUGUGGACUUGCAGGAGGCCUGAACGGGAUGAACAGCUAAACCAAUGGUGUUAUUAUCUGGUAAAAGGCUUGCACAGGUGGUAAGUGAUCCAAGGCUAACCAAGAUGGAAUAAGGAUUUAGCUUCUUUUGAGAACCAGUUAUCACAAGAGGCUAGCGUGGGAGAUUAGUGAGAAGCUUGUUGGGUUAGCUUGAAGAGCAGCUUAGGAACUGGUAAGGGAGGCAAGACCUGCAGAACAUCCUUAGGUCUUGACGAGUGUGCACUGUUGUCCGCUUAAACAGAUAGUAUAGGUGAGUAAUAAUAAGUUCCCUCUUGUAAAACUUGAAAAGUUUGCACUUUGCACUAAAAGGAGCAAUGGAGCAACUGUUCAACAAAUAUCCAGUAUCAUGGCGAUUUUCAAAUCUUAUUACAGAGAAUAUACAGUCAUGCUUGUUUCAAGACGUGUAUCAGAGAUGAAAUGUGAUAUGGGAAUGAAUAGCUCAGAAGCUGCACUUCUCAGUCCAAUGUUGGAGAUCAAACUUGUAGUAUUACAUCGCGUAGAAAUCUCCAAUACGUGGGGCAAGAGUAACUGUUCAAGUUCAUACAGUUUUUGGCUUUGUCCACCUUCCAGUCAUGUCAAAACAUUUUCUCCACCAAAACAAUGG